AGGUCACAGCGCCAUGCACAGGGGGGAGACAAAGUGCCCUGUGUGUGACCGGGUCUUCAGCCACAAGGGCAACAUGAAAGCGCACUUGAAAAACGUACACAAACGGAUGUAGCACAGUGUGGUGAUGGGGAGAGAGGCGCCUCGGCUGGCUCGCGGAUGAGCGCGUGGAGCUGUGAAGAAUGCGACAAAACAUUCACCCAGAGGGAGUCGCUGAGGCAGCACCGUGCCGUUCACAGGGGCGAAACGCGGUGUCCUAUCUGUUUGAAAGUGUUCAGCACCGUGUACAAUUUACAGAUGCACAUGCGCUGCGUUCACGUUGUCAAUUCAAAUUCGUAGUCGUAGACCGAGACCCGGCGCUCCCCUUCAGAACCUCUCAUCGGCGGAUAUAACAACAGGCGUACCGUGACAACCAUAUUAUCCUGGAUCCAGCUUCUAAGUUUUGUGCUGUAUCUAAGUAUUUUGCAUUUUGCUGCAUUUUACACAAGCAAGCGCCUUUUUUCGGCCCGUGUUCGUAAUUUCUUCGUCAUUGUUCGUCAUCGAAGACCAGGACUAUUUGAGACCUAAGUGCGUGCGCGUAACGGUAUCUCCAGUAUAGAUUGCUCUUGGGUUUGUAAAGAUUUUCAUCUGCUUGCACCCAUUUUAGACCCAUGUGUGUAUUUUAGUCCAUCUAGCAUGUCUAUGGGCGAAAACGAAAGACAUGACCAAAUACCCGAUCACUUGCGUCGUUCUUUUUUUGGCCUUUUGCUUGGUGCUUCAUACUUCAUUAUAACAUUUGGGCCGGUAGUGAAAGAUUGGUGUCUUGUGAAAUGGUUAUAAUGGCUUUUUCCAUCCGGCAUUUUUGUUUUCGUAAAUCCACGGUCAUAGGUCGUAUGUGAAGCUUCGGCGUGCUUUGCACUGCGCUCAAUAAACAGUAGCCUAGGUCGAGAA